rnacentral:lncRNA from 1 species
CUACAAAGACCACAUUGUCACUAGGUCUGUAGAAGAGGUAACCAAAGGAUCGCUGUGGGUAACCGAUGAAAAUACACCUCUCGCUUCGAGGUUCGAGCUUAUCAUGAGUCUCGCGUCUCACGAAAGCCUCGCAACCCCAAAUCUUGAUGUGGUCUAGUUUAGGUACUUUACCAGUCCACAUCUCGUGAGGAGUUUUGGCAACUUUCUUUGUAGGGACAAGAUUAAGAAUAUGGGCGGCAGUCUCUAAGGCAUACCCCCAGAAUGAGAUUGGUAGCAUUGCUCGACUCAUCAUGGAACGAACCAUAUCCAACAAGGUUCGAUUACGCCUUUCAGCUACACCAUUCAACUGUGGUGUCCUGGGAGGUGUCAAUUGUGAGACAAUCCCACAUUCCAUAUCCGUAGAUACCCGAACCGAGCCGUAUGAAAUUAUAUAUAUAUAUAUAUAACUGGUAGGUAUGUCUUAUAUUAGUUCAUUAAAUUAAUUUUUUUUUUAUUUUAGUACUGCAUAUAUAACAGGUAGGUAUGUCUUAUAUCAUGAUUUAUUAGUUGUGGUUAUUAAUGGAACAUUGAAGAAUAAACUUAGUAUUUGAGCAAAUUAGACUCUUAAUACAUACCCUGUACGUUAUCGAUGUAUGGUAUCUUAUUUAUGUCUAUGUAUCAAAUUUAUCAAUUUUUUGGUAAUGUAAGGUAUUAGAACUCCAAUAAAAUUUGAUUUUUUUAGCGGGUAACCGUGAAUCGAACCGUGGUUAUCCGUCUUUAUACAGUUCGGUUCGGUUUUUUACACAAUUCGGUUCGGUUAUGGAUAAUGCAUGUAAGGUACCUAUCCGGUGGUCACGGUUCAUAAUUUUAUUAUUAUCCUAUCUGAAACGCCCUAUGAAAACCCCAGAAAAAUAGUCAUUACAACACUAUUUGAAUAUAAAAGAUUGACCAAAUUUUCUUAGUAUCGUAUUAUUUUUUCUGUUUAUUAAAAUAUAUAUAGUUAUUUAAUAUUAAUGUUACUAAAAAGCCUAAUAUGGUUACAAUCCAAAUUACGUUUAUAUUAGGUAUUGUAUUUCUAAAAGUUAUGUACUUAUGGUGAAAGAAAUGUUUGAAUGUUUGUAAAAAGAAGUAUGAAAAUUUUCUUUCACAAUAAGCCACAUAAUUUUUAGAAAUACAUAUCCAUAAUUUUUAGAAAUACAAUACAAAUAUCCAUAAUUUUUAGAAAUAUGCAAGAAAAUAGAUAUAACCUGACUAUAGAUAUAACCUAACAUCUCUUUAGUAUUUCUUAUUCUACAAUUAUAAUAUUAAUAAAUUAUAAACAUUCUACAAUUAUGAUAACAACUAAAAUUGUGAUUCAAAUUAAGAAAAAUCAGAUUCUAUAUUGUAUAAACUAGGUGUAAGAUUUAUAUAUUAAAUAUGUUAAUUAAAAAAGUUAAAUAUAAAAGUCUAAAUAUUUAAAAAGUUUGGAUUUAUAAAAAAAUAAGAAAAAUAAUAAUUUAUUAAAAUUGAUUUUUUUAUCUUUUAAAUUUAAAUAAAUAAACAAGAAAAACUAAUGAACUUUAAUUUGAAAAUUUUGAAAUAAAAAAGUAAAUCCAUUAAAUAAAUUGAUAUGAAUUUAUUACUAUAUUUAUUAUAAUUAUUACAUUAAAGUAAAGUAUUAUGAUGAAUUUAAUAAAAUAGAAAACUCAUAUAAUGACAUACAGAAAAGAUAAUAAAUUCAAAAUAACUUUCACAAAUUGAAUGAGAGUAACAUAUGACAAAAAAAACAUUUAUUUAUUAGAGAAGAUUGUGUGUACCUUAUAUACAAUUUUCCAAGAGUUGUUAAUUAUCAAUAUCAAAAAAUAAGAAAUACUAAAGAGAUGUUAGGUUAUAUCUAUAGUUUUGUACUCUUGUAUAUUGAUUUUGUUUCCUCUAAAAGGUUCACCGAUAUAUCCAAUCGCAUAAUCACAAACAUCGAGAAAGAAACAGCAGGAAAUUGUUUUUUUUUUGAAAGUUUGAAGUAAGAAUUGCCGAAACGCAACCAUCGGUAUAAAUUCAUUAAUUUUCCCACAAACUUGCUUUAUAGUCUUUUUUUCAUAUUUGUUUAAAAUAAGUAUAGACAUUUAUUGAAAUUGAUUAAUCUAUCUUUUGUUUAAUUAUUAUAAAGUCUAAUAAUAGCUGAAUAUGACACAAAAAUAAUAAUCAUAUAUAACUGAAUCUUUAUUCAACAAAAAUAGAUAUAAAAUUACAUUAAAAGGUGAAAAAAAUAAUCCAACCUUGAAACAUAAAAUUACUCUUAAGUUGGUUUCAAUAAGACAAAUAUAUAUAACAACUCAUAUUCUUUAUCUUUUAGAAAAUUUUCUAUCAACCAAUAGUCAGAUGAAAUAUUUUUAUAGAUCUGAGAGUAAAUUUAUUUUCAGUUCAUUUCUUUGAAUUGUGUUUUGUAUCUUUAUCAUAUUUUGAUUUAUUUAUAAAAUAUAAUGUGUAUUUAUUAUUAUACACAUUAAAUUACAAUAUAAGAAUAUGACUACUAUAAUUAAAACAAGUAAAAUCUAAGUGUAAAAUAAUCAAAAACUGAUCAGCCUUGUAAAAGAUGUAUAACACCCUAGAUAUCCACACAUUUGAAAAAAAAAAAUCAUAUACACGCUAAAAAAUCUAGACAAAAAAAUUUGUAAAACAACCAAAAUAAUAGAAAUAACAAAGUUUAUAACAAAUUUGAACCCCCGUUAUCUCACGCUCUCCUCAUCUUGAUUUCUGUAUGUCGUUCGCUUUUUAUCAGAUUUAAAAGAGAUAAAAAUGAAGAUAAACUCAUAUUAAAACAUAUUACACAGAUCCGGAAACACAUAUGGUUCCCACGGUAGAAGCUAACAUCAACAUAUUUAGGACCAAAAAGAACACAGAUACACACAUCUAAUACAAACAUAAUUUUACCAGAUUUGAUAGCUUACUCUUGAGGAACAAUUGUUUACCAAGUCUUCCGCGUAGGAAGUGAUCUGGUGUGUAGAUCUAAGAAGCAAAAUCAGCAACGGUCAAGUAUCUNNNNNNNNNNNNNNNNNNNNNNNNNNNNNNNNNNNNNNNNNNNNNNNNNNNNNNNNNNNNNNNNNNNNNNNNNNNNNNNNNNNNNNNNNNNNNNNNNNNNCUUUUGGAUUUACAUAACUUAUGAGUUUAAUUAAGGUUUUAAAAGAUUUAAUGAAUAGACUCUUGAACAUCCAUCACUUGAGGACAAGUUAUGAAGUCCACAAAACUAUUUAUGAGAAAAAACUCUUCAAUUAUAUAACAUAUGGCUUUUCAAUGGAUCUUUAAAAGAAAUGACUUUUGGUAAUCCAUAACUUGAGGACAAAUUAUGGACUCCAUUAGAAAAUGCAUUUAGAUCAAGAAUUAACUAACAACAAUGUGCAAAUAAUUCCUAUGAUCUACUAAAAUUCAUAAGUGUAUGAACAAUCACAUCAACAAUUUAAAGAAUCAUAUGAACACAUAUAAAACUUGAAAUUUUGAUAAUAACUUUUAAAUUGGUUUACCAUAAUCAUUACCACAUCAAAAACAGGUUUUAUAAGUCCAAAAUAGUUUAAGGUAAUGAUUCUAGACCAAUUCCAUCCUUAAAAGUCGAAAAUAUGUUGUCUGGGGGUCCUACUCGUCGAGUGUAUGAACCUACUCGACGAGUAGGAUGAAUUUCUUCAUGGAAUCAACGAGUUCAUCAGUGGACUCUGUGAGUCUAGUGCCCAGAAAGCCAGAAUUUUCGAUUUUUAAGCUAUUUCAGCAAGUAUAAGUUGAAAACAAGCCUUGACUCUAAUACCACUCUUGGGUUUUGAGCAUUCUAACACUCCUAUGGUGUACAUGCAACCCUAUAAACCUUGGAUCUAUGUUUUUCUCUGUUAUACAUGCAAAUAUUCAAUAUUCCAAGGUUUCAUCCUAACUAGCAUAAUAUAAAGUAUAUACAAUACAAGAAUCUAGAAGAAUAACAUACCUCUUUGUUGUAGCUUGAUUCCAUGGAGCUUAAGAGCCUAGUUCCCCAAGUGUGACACCUCAAAUGGUUCACACAACAUCACCAACAUUUUGGAAUAACUUGAGAGAAAAGGUUCUUAUGCUCAAAUCGGCUAGCCCUCUUGUGUACACACACUAGUGCCAAUUUUGUGAACCAAGGACCCCUUUAUAUAUUAUGGAGGAUUAGGGUUACAUCCAUGUAAACCCUAAUACCCAUGACCUUUCAUUUACAUAGGAUCCAUGGGUUAAAAGCUCCAUGGACUUCCAUACACUCUUAGCCCAUCCUAAAUAAACCUUAGCCCAUUCGAUAUAUAUUUAAGUUUCCAUAUUUAAUUAGUCUCUUUUGAUCACUAAAUUAAUUCCAAAAUCAAUUCUUGAUCAACACUACUUAAAUAAUAUGAUUUCAUAUUAAAAUAUUAUAACUUAUAAUAUAUUAAUAGAUCAUAAACAUGUUAUUCUCAAAAGUAUAUCCAUACAAAUUGUUAGGUGAAGUGCAAACCAAAUGGACAAUGCCGGGUCGGGUCAAGUUCAUACCAAAUAUAGUUAUGGACUUAGACACCUUAUCCAACNAUAUAUAUAUAUAUAUAUAUAUAUAUAUAUAUAUAUAUAUAUAAGUCCAUAUUUAAUUAGCCUCUUUUGAUCACUAAAUUAAUUCCAAAUUAAUUUUUGAUCAAUACUAAUUAAAUAAUAUGAUUUCAUAUUAAUAUAUUAGAACUUAUAAUAUAUUAAUAUAAAUCAUAAAUAUCCUCUUCUCACAAAAAGUCUAUCCAAAUGUUCUGAUGCCAUGUAGCCCAAAUGGACCAUGUUAAAUCGGGUCAAGUACAUACCAAUUAUAAUUAUGGACUUAGACACUAAUCCAACAACAAAUGAUAGGGUUUCAUCCAUGCAAACCCUAACGCAACAUGACCUUUCAUAUUACUUAGGCUCCAUGGGUUAAACCUCCUUGGACUAUCCAUGGACUAUCUCAUUGGUUUAGCACAUCCUAAUUAACCAUGGAUCAUUGGCCCGCACUAUAAGAAUCAUUGAUUUACUUAAUCAGUCCCCGUAUAUUUAAUUAGUCUCUUUUGAUCUCUAAAUUAAUUCCAAAUUAAUUCUUGAUCAAUACUAAUUAAAUAAUAUGAUUUCUCAAUUAAUAUAUUAUACUUAUAAUAUAUUAAUAAAUUACAAAUAACCUUAUUCUCAAAAGUCCAUCCAAUCAAAUUACACUGGUGAAGGCAACCCAAAAGGACCAUGUUACAAUCAGGUCAAGUACAUCCUAAAUAUAGUUAUGCGCUUAGACACCUAAUCCAACACUUAUACCCUAAUAUUUUAGAUUAUAACCAGUAUUCAAAAUAGAGUAAUCUUAGAUCUCGAGCUUUUUAGUAUGAAAAACACAUGUUUGAGUAAGGAAGAGUAAAAAGAGGAGAGAGGAUCGAGGUUCAACUACAAGAGUUAAAAAAACAGUAAUGAGGUGAAAUCUUGGUCUUAAGAAGCUUACCCACAAAUGCAAUGAUAUCUCACUUCAUAUCAACCCAUUUCAUAACAUGUAUAUACACAUAUAGAAAUAUAGAGGAAGAGGGUUAGUAGUGAUGUAGGUUUGGGACAACCUUCGGUUAAAUAACUGAACACCAAAACCAAAUCAAGAAAAAAAAUAACACUCAAAAUCAUUCAAUAAAAUGAAAUUAAUAACUUAAUUUGAAGUUUAAAGACAAAACGAACAGGAGAUUGUUGAGAAUACACAGAGCACAAUCUUUGAAGAAUUCAACUUUGUUUGGGCCCUAUCACAAGAAAUCGAACCCCACGUCAAAAUUUGGAUAACAAAGAAGAUAUUGUUGAGAAGAAAACACAACAAUCAAGUAAGGUGAAAAAACGAACAAUUCAGUUGUUUCUCCGGCACAAUCUUGUAAAACUUCAAGAUUAGUUGACCUCUAGCACGGCAAAUCGAAUACAACUGCAAAAUCGUUUAUACCAGAACAAAAGUAAGGAGAUUUAGUCUGCUAAAAAUGGAACCCAUAGUGGUGCGACAUAAGUACAAAAAAAAAAAAGAAAACAGUAAGAAGAAGCUUCGACAAUUUUCUAUUUCAUAGAAAGCUUACCAGGGGAAAGAGAUCUCAAAAUCAAAAGUAAAACACGAUUGCAAAUGAGAAGGUAUACAUUACGAUUUACACCUCGUUCCCGAGUUCAAUUUAGCCAGAGAAAAUAAAGGAAAUGGAGGGAAGUGGGAAGAAAGUAGAAGAUAUAUUAGUUUUCUCGAGUUUCAGUAAACCAAGGAAGUGGAAGGAAAUGGAAUGAUUUUUUCCCUCUUAACUUUCCUUCCGAUUUGAAUGAAUUUGGAGGGAAAAAACAAAAUAUUUAAUUUUUCUCCACUGUUCUUCAACUCGGAAACACAAAAAAAAAAAUUAUUAUCCUUUCUGUUUUCUUUUUUUUCUCCUUACUUUUUUUUUUCUCUUAUUUUCUUUUCUCUGUUACAACUCGGGUGUGUUGGACAAAAGGAGAUCAAGUUUGCAAUCUGUGUGAUAGGCCCUUACUUUUAAUCCCAACGAUUCAAAUUAGAUUCAAUUGUCCAGAUCAAUUUUCUUUGUUUUUUAUGAUAACAUGUUUAAUUUUUUGUACCUUAGGCUUUAAAAUUUGUACUUAACAAAUUGAAAAAAUCAUUUUUUGUAUUUCAUAAAAAUCAUUUUUCAUACCAUGUGUUAUCUAUUGAACUUUUUAUUUCGCAUUGUGGCCAUUGAAAGUUAUUCUUUUGGCGAUUAGAUUCGUUUCAGGAAUAUGUUUUUUGUUACAACUAGUUUAUUUACGGUAAGCGGCGGUGCAAUGUUGCGGUCAUGUCGAAUACUUUUCAGUGAAUAACAUUUUACUAACAAAUAGUUUUUGUUUUGAUGAUUAGUUGUCUUUUGAAAAAAUAUAAUAAUCCAAAAAAACACAAACGUAAUUUUUUUUUUAUCAGAUGCCACGUGUAGAGUUGAACAUGAUUUUUUAGAAAGUUUUUGACGAUGGUGUGGGUGAAUGGUGAAUACGGGAAGGUGUAGUGGUGAUUGAUAGUGAUGAAUGGUGGGGUUUGUUAUUGGAGGUGGACGUUGGCAAAUAAAGGUGGGCGAUGAUACUUUGAAUAUAUUGUGUAGCUUGUAGAAAAUAAUACUAACCUCUUAAAAUGAUUUUUUUAGCAAAGUUGGUGAUAAAAAUAUGUAAAUAUAAAAAGAAUUAAAUCUUAUCACAUCGAAAAAAAAUAGUAAACCAAGUGUUUUUUUAGCACACUCUUUUUGCGGCCAUUAGAAUUGAUCGAUAGGUCACCCCAAUGAAAGAAAAACAUGAAAGUCAUGUUAGAUAAGAGAAAGACAUAAAGAUAGAAAAAGAUGACUUGUGUACAUAUUAAUUAUUCUUAUUAUGUUAUUAACCAGAAAUGUUAAACUCCCUAAUGAAAAAAAAAUUCAAGUAAGCUAAAUAAAAUAUCUGUAGUAAAAUACCAAUACUUUGGUAUAGUAUUUGAAAAAGUCUCAAAUUUAAUUUUAUUAUAUAUAUAUCAUAAAAGUUUAAAAUGUUUAGCUACAGUAACUUUUUUUCUCUUUUUUAUUUUCACACGGAAGUUCUUGGCUUUCUUAUUUUGCCACUGAAACUUCUAUUACUCAGGAGAAAGCAUAAACCGCCUUACAUUUUCUCAUCCUUAUCUUUUGUUCCUUAGAGCCGGUUGCCGCCUUCUCCUCCAAUAUUGUUCGCUUGCGUUCUUAUUAAUUUUUUUCCCUUUCUUCUAACCCUAGAACCAACGACAAUGUUCGUUGUCUCCAUUUGAUUAAUGCUUGGAGUUGCCCCUUCAAUCGAACACAAUCGCCACCGCCGUUCAGUUCACCACUUCUCCUAUUGGCCGUUGUCGGCCAACAUCAAAUAACUUUCUUUCUCUUUCUUAUUCUCACACAGAAGUUCUUGACUUUCUUAUUUUUGCCACCGAAACUUCUAUUUCUCAGGGGAAAGCUUCUCAUCCUUAUCUUUUAUUCCUUAGAGCCGGUUGCCGCCUUCUCCUCCAAUAUUGUUCGUUUGCGCUCUUAUUAAUUUUUUUUCCCUUUCUUCUAACCCUAUAAACAAUGACAGUGUUCGUUGUUUCCAUUCGAUUAACGCUUGGAGCCGCCCCUUCAAUUGAACACAAUCGCCACCGCCGUUCAGUUCACCGCGUCUGCUAUUGGCCGUUGUCGGCCAACAUCAAAUAACUUUCUUUCUCUUUCUUAUUUUCACACGGAAGUUCUUGGCUUUCUUAUUUAGGUAUGCAUUUUCCCCUUUUAUUUCUAAUAUUCAUUAUAAGGCUUCCUAGACUAAUAUCUUUAAUUUUAACACAAGAAAGAGGUAGAAAAUUUUCACAUUUGUCAUUUAUAUGAAACUUAUCUUUGUAUAUAUUGUAUAUAUGUUCAUAAUAUUACUGUGUAAGUAAACUUGUAUUCGGGGCAACUGAAUACACAACCACAAUUGAUGUCUGUUCAGUCGCUUUUGUCCUUGCCGAACUCCUUCUACGAAAGGUUCUGUUCUUUCUGUGCCUUUUUAACUAAAUCAAAAAUUAAUUUUAAUUUAAGAAAAUCAAUUGAAUUCAAACAUCAACCUUAAUGUUAAACAAAAAAAAAAUUGUUAAUGUCCGUUUUACCCCUAUUUCUAUAAACGUUAACCAAAUGUCGUUUCCAUCUUUUUAUCAUAACUACAUAUAGUUUUAAUGUUUACAGUUGAAGAAAGUCAAUGCCCAUUUUACCCAUAUUUAUAAAAAACAAUCCUUUUGUGAUUUUCUGAUUUUGGUGUUCUUUUUAACCUGCGAUGAUGUCAGUUACCAUCAUGGGAUUUUUUUAGGCAACCAAAAUCAGCUAAUCUGGUAUUAUGCACAAUUGCAAUUACCCGCACAAAGAUUUGGCUUUAGUAACUUAUAGUUGUCGUUAUAAUUAGCUGAAUGUUUUUGUAUGUGUGUGUAGAUUAUGCAUAUGGGUUACCAAUGUAAUGUUUUGUUUAAACAAUCAACAUCGGGGUUAGGAUUGAAAAUCUUAAUCUUACUUUUCAACAUAUAGAAGAUCUUUAUCUUUUUGGAGAUGUUGAUGAGCAAUGACGAAACUGCUCUUUUAUAAAUCUCAUUUUAGCAAAACGUGUCAAAUAGCAAUGUACUAUAUGAAAUGAGAAACUGUAAUUUUUAACUGUAGCUUAAUAAGAAGAUCAUGACUUUCGCUCUUUAUGCAAACAAGAAUAACACAUAAAGAUGGUUACUUUAUAACAAAAGAAAGCUAAAAGUAUAAAAAAACGUAAAGAAAAAUGAUUGAUUUUCAUAUUUUUUGUUGAUUAUAAAUAAAUCUUGAUAUGAACAUAUACUGAGGCCAGACGAACAACACCUUGAGAACGGUGAAUAUGACAUGGCAAAUUCAGUAAAGCUCCGUCUUGAGACCAGACAUAGAAUGGUAUGCUUUCUUAACCUUAACCUUUGGUUACCGGUUUUUGACAUUAAUUUAUUAUUAUUUGAUUUAAUAUUUUGUUGUAACGAAAACUACAAGAAAAUGGAUGAAAACCGCAAUGGUUUUAAAGGAGGGUGAAGACGGGACGUCUCAGUAUGUAGGUGGAUAUUUGGAAGAAUGAGAGGAUGGUAAGUGAGGGAUUGUCCGAAUAUAUUUGGUGAAUUUAGUAAUUAUUCCAUCAACACAUCCUGAUUUAUCCCAAGGUAAAUUAAUUUUAUCUUUUUUUCUUUAUAUGAUAAAUAAAAUAAAAAAAACUAAAGUUAAAAGAUUUUUUAUCAUGUUAUAAAUGCAGGGGAGAAAGGGAGGAGGUACUUUGCUGCGUUAAAGUAUUUUGCCGUAUAUGUAAUAUGUUUUCAUAAAUAUUAUAAUAUGUUGUAUCGUUUGCUACAGCUGGAAAUAAAGGGGGGGAAAAAGAAACACGACGCCAAAGGCGCAGGUAAUUCCUAUCUAGUCUAUAUCUAUCUAUCUAUAUAUACUUAUAAAUGAAGCUUUUUUUUUUCCUUCACCACAUUCAUUUGAAACUCUCAUACAUUUUUUCUUUCACCACAUUCAUUUGAAACUCCCAUAACUUUUCAAUUUCUUUCUAAUAAUAAUUAUAAGUUCGUUAAUAAGGUUAAAUAAAUAUCAAACCUAAAAUAUAAUGAUAUAUAAACUAAAUUUACAUAUUAAAAUAAUAUCUUUACUUCUACUUAUAAAGUUAUGUUAUUUUACUUUUAACAUAUUAUACUUAAUUUAUUUGUUUUAGUAUAUUGUUGGAUGUAAAUAAUUAUCAUUUUAAAGAUACAAUUUUGGAGCAAUUUGUAUAAAAUACUUAAAUUAUUAGUUUAAAUAUAACAUUACAUGGUCAACUUAAAUAUAAAUUUUUGUUUAACUUAAACAAUACAAAUUUUUUUUGUAAAUAAUUAAAAGUGAUAAAUUGUAGUGUUUUUCUAGUAACGAUUAUAAAUUGGUUAAUAAAGUUAAACAAAUAUCAAAACUAAAGUGUAAACAUAAAUAAACUAAAUUUCAACUUUAAAAUAAUAUCUUUAAUUCUACUUAUAAAGUUAUAUCUUUAACUUUUAACAUAUUAUAUUAAUUUAUCAGAUUUUAAAUUUUGUUUUAUAUAAACAAUUAUCAGUUUAAAGUUACAACUUUUGAAUUAUUUGGAUAAAAUACUAAAAAUUUUAAUUUAAAUAUAAUAUUACAGUGUCAACUUAAAUAUAAAUUUCAUAAAUUAUGGUGAUAAAUACAAAACCUAAAUAGUUAAAAGUCAUAAAUCAUAGUGAUAAAUGCAAAAACUAAAUUGUAAUAUCAAUUUAACUUAUAAUAAGAAUAGUUAAAAAUAACUCUAUAUAAAUGAUUAUAUUGUUACCUUUAAAAUCAAAAAACAAUGUUUGAUGUUUUAAAUAAUUAUAAUGAUAGAAAUUAGAACAUUAAGCAAAUAAAUUUUAAAAACUUAGUUACCAAUAACAAUAACUAUAAAUAACAUUAAACCGUAUAUUAUAUUUAAUUUUAUUUAUGUGUAACUCGCGGGUAGAAGUCAUUCAAACGAUUGAGAUUGUGUAGUUAUAAUAGAUGUAUAUAUUAUCAUAUAAUUAAAAAUAAUCAAUAUAUUAUAUCAAUUUACUAUACAAAUUAUUAUAUCAAAUUUAACAACAACGUUAUUGUUAUAUUAAAAAAAAACAUACAUUUGUAAAGACGUCAACUAUAUAGGUGUUUCUGCGUAAUGCGCGAGUAUUCGUCUACUAUACUUAUUAAGGAAACAUUUUUCCAUUCACCACAUUCAUUUGAAACUCCCGUUCAUUUUUCCUUUCACCAAAUUCAUUUGAAACUCCCAUGACUUUUCAAUUUCUUUCUAAUAAUGAUUAUAAGUUGGUUAAUAAGGUUAAAAAAAUAUCAAACCUAAAGUGUAAUCUAUAUAAACUAAGUUUCAAUAUUAAAAGAAUAUAUUUUCUUCUACUUAUAAAGUUAUUUUUUAACUUUUAACAUAUUAUACUUAAUUUAUUAGGUCUAAUAUGUUGUUUUAUGUAACCAUUAUCAUUUUAAAGCUACAACUUUUGAAAAUUUUAUAUAAUAUACAUAAAUUGUUAAUUUAAGUAUAACCUUACAGGAUGAACUUAAAUAUAAAUCUUAGCUCAACUUAAACAAUCCAAAGAAUAUUUUGUAAAUAGUUAAAAGUGACAAAUUGUAGUGUGUUUCUAAUAAUGAUUAUAAGUUGGUUAAUAAAGUUAAAUAAGUAACAAACAUAAAGUGUAAUCAUAAAUAAACGAAAUUUCAAUAUUAAAAUAAUAUUUUUACUUCUACUUAUAAAGUUAUGUCUUUAACUUUUAACAUAUUAUAUUUAAUUUAUUAGAUUUAAUAUGUUGUUGUAUGUAAACCUUUAUCAAUUUAAAGCUACAACUUUGAAUAGUUUGCACAAAAUACUUUAAUUGUUAAUUUACAUAUAACCUUACAGGGUUAACUUCAAUAUAAAUUUAUGUUCCACUUAAAAAACCUAAAGAGUAUUUUGUAAAUAGUUAAAAGUGAAAAAUUGUAGUGCUAAAUGUAAAAACUAAAUUGUAAUAUUGAUUUAACUAAAAUAUUUUCUAAAGAUAUUUUUAUAAUCGUUAAAAGUUUUCAAAUAAGUAGCUAUGUAACAGCCCGGAUUUCCAGGUAUUAUUUAUUCUUGUAACUUUUGGUGAUUUGUGAGGGGACUCGACGAGUUGGAGCUCAAACUCGCCGAGUAGGAUCGCGGGUGGGAGACCUAUUUAAGAGGGCUUAUGGCCGUCAUUUGCGGCCACCAACCUCAGAGAGAACCCUAAAAAAGUCCUUGAGCAAUUUGUGAGAGAGAGGAUGUAUAUCUUUGGCUAAUUGUGGGUGUUUUUGCUCUUGAAGAGGAUCAAGCCAAGAGGAGACCAAAGGAGGUGCUAAUCUAGUGAUUUCUGAGCUCAGAGACUUCAUUUGAGGUAACCAUUCGUUUCUAUCUCAGUCCUUGGUGUAAAUCUUAGAAUUAGGGUUUCUUUGUGGAAAGAUCCAUGGAGUAAUUGGCCUCUUUUUGAUGUUGGAACCUUAGAUCUGGACCCAAAGAGGUCCAGAGACCCUUUUCCCUCAAGCUUUAUGGGUGUUAAUGGAGGCCAUGAGCCUAGAAUGGCAUUCUAGGGACCACAUCAUCAAAUAAGGCCUUUGGACCUUUUCAUGAGCACCAAGAUUGAAACUUUACGUGGUAUAUGUGCUUGGAAGGACUGGAUCUAUGGGUUUUUGGAGCGGAUCUGACCUCAGGAGUGAGUUUGAGUUCAUGCAUGGUGUGGACUCGCCGAGUCCGAAGAACAGACUCGGCGAGUAGCAUGAAGAUUGUCCUUAACCACUCUGCGAGUGGUCUUGCCGAGUUAAGGGUUGACUCAGUGAGUCAGGGAGAGUCGGAGAGGGUUGACUAGUGGACUGAGUCAAGAUGGAACUCGCCGAGUUGUUCUUGAGACUCGGCGAGUUGGGUCGUGGUAGCCCCGCGAUUCAUGCCAGGUGGAACUCGUCGAGUCAGGGAAGUACUCGACGUGCCAGGAGAGGAUCUGAGGGAGUCAAUGAACACGUAUAGACUCAUCGAGUCGCUUCGGUGCACCUGCCGAGUCCGGUUAAAGUUGACCAUUGACCAGCGUUGACCAAUGUUGACUUGAUAGGGGAAGUCAACCUUCGUUUUGAAAGUGUUAAUUAGAAGUACAUAUUGUGUUAUAGGAGGAUUAUAGCUCGAGGGAUCGAGCACGAGUGAUUUCCGGGAGUUGCGAGUUAGCGAGAUACACGAGGUGAGUCUUCUCACUAUACUUUACCUUGAGUAGGUAACCAGAGUUAUGUGACAGAGUAUUUGUAUGCUAUGUAUGUUAUGUAUGUGUUGUACUGCAUUAUUUCUAUGUGAUUUAUGUUGUGCAUGUUUACAGAGUUAGAACCUGAGGGUUCACAGAGUUUGGGUGUACGGACCUACAAAGUUAUAGCCUCGAGUGGCUAAUAUGUGUUAUAUGUGGUAUUUUGGGGAAUUCGCUAAGUUUGUGCUUACAGUGUUUGGUGUUAUAUGUUUCAGGUACUAGUGACGACCGUGGGAAGGCGCCGGCUUGAUCAGUACACACGCAUGGGAUUUCAUGAUUAUGUGAUCUUGGGAUUUUUGUAUAACUUGGAUUGAAUUUUAAACAUAGGUGUUUUAUGAUUAUUGAGGGAAUUAUGUUUUAUAAAAAUUCGAAAAAUUUGUUUCAAAAUCUACGGUGUUACAAGUUGGUAUCAGAGCCUUGGUUUGAGGGAUUCGGGUACACCUUCGGGGGGAUUUGAACUCAAACUGAGGAUUUGGAAAAUAUUUUCAAAAGAGAACCAAAAUUUUACAAAAGAAGUAAAAGAUUUUAGAGAAACUCAGAGCAGAAACGUGUGUACGAUCAGUCAGCGCCCGAACGGUAAUUUCCCAAAAUACCCUUAUAUUAUAUGUUUAUGAGAUUGAUAUAUAUUCUCUUGCUAGAGCAGGCUAGGUAUUCCUAUUAGGACUAGAGUGCCCUGAUUUGUGAUGCCUUAGCCUAGGGAGAGGUGAGCUGCUAUGAGACGCUUGAGAGUGAAUAGGUAGCAGCGAGGAGCUUAUGAGAGGUUUNAGCGGAUUGUAUAGAGUACUUGGGACUUGGAGUCCGAAGAGGAAGAUUUGGGGUGUACCCUGAAACGGUGCAGACAGUACUAUUGGGCCCGUACUACUGAAAACACCAGAGCGGUGUACAGUUCAGAUAAGAACCUUCCGAAUGCCAAGGAUCAAGGAGGGAAGGGUUGUCGAGUGUGUGUAUGCUCGAAUGGAUUCUAAUUUAUCGUAUGUUGUAUUUUAGAGGUCGAUCAUGGUGAGGACACGUCAUAUGCCAGAGAGAAGUGGGGCUAGUGAUGAGGAGAUCCGUCAGAUCAUCCACGAGGAGGUGGUUGCGCCCAUCAGGGCAGAGAUACAAGAGAUGUUCGGGUCUAUUAAGACCACACUGAUUGAGACUUUCGACGAGCAUUAUGCUGCUCUUUCUGAGGUUGCUGUUGCGGUGGCCACCGCAGCUGUUGCUGCUGCGAGGCCGCAGGGUGGUGAUGUGUUGCUGUUCCGAGAGUUUGAUGGGACCCAGGACCUGGUGGUAGCUAUGAGAUGGAUUUCUGAUAUAGACGGAUGUUUCUUCACUUGCUCAUCUCCUGAGCAUUUGAGAGUUCGGUUCGCGUUGAACCAGCUUCGCUUGGGAGCGAAGGACUGGUGGAAGUUUGUGACGAUGCACUUUACGCCUGCUGAGCUUGCGGCAGUGACCUGGGAGAGGUUCACUGCCAUGUUCCGAGACGAGUACGUUCCCCAGGUAGAGAGGGAGCAUUUGGCCCAGGAGUUUCUGACGCUCAAGCAGGGUACUGAGUUUGUUACAGUGAUUACCAGGAUGUUCCAUGAGAGGGCGAUGUUCUGCCCUGAGCACGUGUCUACGGAGCAGGCACNUCUGAGUAUCGAGGCGAGACAUUAGGGAGUUCGUGGCGAACUCCUCAUACCGGAAAUUUGCCGAGCUUCAGGCAAAUGCCUGAAAGAGGGAGAUUGAGCUAGAGACUCAGGCCAGGGAGGGAUCGGCGACCGGCACUUGUGGAAAGUGCGGCAAGGGUCAUGAUGGAGUUUGUAGAGCUCGGUCUUGCUACAAGUGUGGCAAGGAGGGCAUAUGGCCAAGGACUACCCCAAGGGGUUUGCAGUGUGUUUUCACUGCAAUAAGACCGGACACCGGAAGGCGGAGUGUCCGCAGUUGCGGGGAUCAGCUCAGGGAGCACCUCAGGGAUCUGCCCCUGCCGCCAUCAGAGCUACCGAGGUUCGGCCAGUGAAGGCCGAGGCGCCGAGGGCACGAGGGAGAGCCUUUCAGUUGACCGCGGAGGAGGUCCGCGCAGCGCCCGAUGUCGUGGCUGGUAUGUAUUCUUUCGUGUAUUUAUUUUGAUGUUGAGAUAUUAUGCUUAUAUUAUGUUAUGCGUAGGUACUUUUCUUGUGAAUUUUGUACAUGCCUUGGUGUUAUUUGACUCGGGUGCGAGUCGGUCUUUUGUAUCUUUGGCUUUUAGUCAGCAUAUCAGUAUUAGUCGUGAGGCGCUGAGUCGGCCUCUGAGGGUUUCCAUAGCUGACGAGAGGGUGAUAUAUGCCACGGAGGUGAUCCGUGGGUGCGUAUUCGAGAUUUUCGGUGUUGAGUUCCCGAUUGAUUUGAUUCCUAUUGUGAUGGGUGAUGUCUGUGUCAUUGUGGGCAUGGACUGGUUGAGUAGAUUCGGUGCGGUUAUCGACUGCGAGCGACAGCUGGUGACCAUACGAGACCCUAGUGGGGGAGUUCUUACGGUGUAUGGCGAGGGUACCCAUUCUGGAUCAGCAUUUUGUUCGGCCGCUAGGGUGAGGCAGUGUCUACAGCAGGGUUGUAAGGGUUUUGUGGCAUACGUGUCAGAUACGCGAGUUGAUUUUGAGAGGCCGAGGUCAGUGGAGGAGGUUCCGAUAGUGCGUGAGUUCCUGGAUGUCUUUCUAGAGGAAUUGUCGGGUGUGCCUCCCGUGAGGCAAGUAGAGUUUAGUAUCGAUUUGGUCCCGGGGGCCGCGCCUGUCGCUAAGGUGCCUUAUCGUCUUGCACCUCCAGAGAUGCAAGGGUUAUCCUCUCAGCUUCAGGAGCUGCUAGGGAAGGGUUUUAUUCGGCCGAGUAGCUCGCCAAGGGGAGCGCCUAUCCUAUUUGUCAAGAAGAUGGAUGGUUCACACCAGAUGUGCAUUGAUUACCGGGAGUUGAACAAGUUGACGGUUAAGAACCAUUACCCGUUGUCGAGGAUCGACGAUUUGUUUGAUCGGUUACAGGGAGCAUCUUGGUUCUCCAAGAUCGAUUUGAGGUCUGGAUAUCAUCAGGUGAGGGUGCGAGAUGAGGACAUCCAGAAGACAACGUUCAGGACGCGUUAUGGGCAUUAUGAGUUUGUGGUGAUGCCCUUUGGGCUCACCAAUGCCUCGACAGUGUUCAUGGAUCUCAUGAACCGGGUGUGCAGGCCGAUGCUGGAUCGGUCAGUGAUUGUAUUCAUCGAUGACAUCUUGGUAUAUUCGAGAUCUAGAGAGCAGCAUGAGGAGCAUUUGAGGGAGAUCCUCGGAGUUCUGAGAUCGGAGAGGCUUUAUGCCAAAUUCUCCAAGUGUGAUUUCUGGUUGCGAGAGGUCCAGUUCCUGGGUCAUCUCGUUAACCAAAAAGGGAUAUUGGUCGACCCGGCCAAAGUUGAGGCAGUGAUGAGUUGGGAGGUGCCGAGGUCACCCUCCGAGAUCAGGAGUUUCCUAGGGUUGGCAGGUUAUUAUCGGAGAUUUAUCAAGGAUUUCUCUAAGAUCGCAGUGCCACUCACCAGGUUGACCCGGAAGGGUGUCGCUUUUUCAUGGGGCCCCGAGCAGCAGGCCUUCUUUGAGACACUUCGCCAAAGGUUAUGCGAGCCCCCGGUGUUAGCCCUCCCGGAGGGAAUGGAGAACUUUGUGGUAUACUGUGAUGCGUCGAUCUUGGGGUUGGGAGCGGUGUUGAUGCAGAGGGGGCAUGUGAUAACAUAUGCAUCGAGGGAGCUGAAGCCUCAUGAGACGAGAUAUCCCACUCAUGAUCUAGAGUUGGGGGCAGUGGUGUUCGCUCUCAAGAUUUGGCGUCACUACUUGUAUGGGGUUCGGUGUACGAUAUACACGGACCAUAAGAGUUUGAAGUAUUUGAUGGAUCAGCCCAACCUAAAUAUGCGUCAGAGGAGGUGGUUGGAUGUGGUCAAGGAUUAUGAUUGUGAGAUCCUGUACCACCCAGGCAAGGCUAAUGUGGUAGCCGAUGCACUGAUCCGCAGGGCGGAGAGCACCCCGAUGUGGGAUGCAUGUUUCAGAUUGACCGUGAUAGCUCCAGUGUUGGACGCCAUUCGUGGGGCACAGGCCGAGGCUGUGCAACCCGAGAUGCAAAAGAAAGAGCGAGUUGUUGGAUUGAUUUUAGAAUUCUUCACCGAUGGUUGAGGGCUCAUGACAUUCCAGGGGCGUAUCUGGGUACCGUUUGUGGGAGGAACGCGUACCGUUUUGAUGGAGGAGGCUCAUCGGUCAAAAUUUUCGAUCCAUCCGGGGGCCACUAAGAUGUAUUUGGACCUGAGGAAAGAGUAUUGGUGGCCNNNNNNNNNNNNNNNNNNNNNNNNNNNNNNNNNNNNNNNNNNNNNNNNNNNNNNNNNNNNNNNNNNNNNNNNNNNNNNNNNNNNNNNNNNNNNNNNNNNNNNNNNNNNNNNNNNNNNNNNNNNNNNNNNNNNNNNNNNNNNNNNNNNNNNNNNNNNNNNNNNNNNNNNNNNNNNNNNNNNNNNNNNNNNNNNNNNNNNNNNNNNNNNNNNNNNNNNNNNNNNNNNNNNNNNNNNNNNNNNNNNNNNNNNNNNNNNNNNNNNNNNNNNNNNNNNNNNNNNNNNNNNNNNNNNNNNNNNNNNNNNNNNNNNNNNNNNNNNNNNNNNNNNNNNNNNNNNNNNNNNNNNNNNNNNNNNNNNNNNNNNNNNNNNNNNNNNNNNNNNNNNNNNNNNNNNNNNNNNNNNNNNNNNNNNNNNNNNNNNNNNNNNNNNNNNNNNNNNNNNNNNNNNNNNNNNNNNNNNNNNNNNNNNNNNNNNNNNNNNNNNNNNNNNNNNNNNNNNNNNNNNNNNNNNNNNNNNNNNNNNNNNNNNNNNNNNNNNNNNNNNNNNNNNNNNNNNNNNNNNNNNNNNNNNNNNNNNNNNNNNNNNNNNNNNNNNNNNNNNNNNNNNNNNNNNNNNNNNNNNNNNNNNNNNNNNNNNNNNNNNNNNNNNNNNNNNNNNNNNNNNNNNNNNNNNNNNNNNNNNNNNNNNNNNNNNNNNNNNNNNNNNNNNNNNNNNNNNNNNNNNNNNNNNNNNNNNNNNNNUACAUAGGUCAAAACAAAAUCAUCGAGGGGCCCAGAUAUCAGCUUCUAAUCCAAGAAGGAACAGAUAAACUUCGACUCAUAUGUUUGUUCUACCACUCAUUGAAUUACACACAAAAGCACGUUUUAUAACAUCGAGUUACCAAUGCGUUUUCGUACAAUCAAUGCAUAACCAACUCGUAAGUAACAAAUCAUAUCUCUAGGUUUGAAGACUUAUAUGAUAUUACCGUCUCACGAUCACUCGAGAUAAAAUUCCAUGAAGUGAUUCCAGUGAGCGUGGGUUGAGUCCAAUGCUCAGAACUUAUGAGCACUCAUGAUUGUUGUAGCCAUGUCCAACACCUUAGACCUCUGCAACCAAUCAUGACAGUCUUGAUUCAUACCUACUUCCGACAUAUGACCGACUGUGGAGGUUUGAAUAAUAUGAUAUACCAAACAUAAUUAUUCUGGAAGUCAAAACAUGCAAAAGAAAUAUAGUAAAAGAUCGACAAGAGAUAGCAACACUUUACUCAUAAAUAAAACACCUUUUAUUCAUCAUCAAAUGUCAAUUACACUUUACAAAUUUCUGGGUUAUCUAACUACUAAAACUUAUAUCAUCCUUCAGCCCUAUGCUCCGAGCAUGCUGGAGAUGCUUAACCCUACUCAGUCCCUUCGUGAGGGGAUCUGCCGGGUUCUCAUCCGAUGAUACCCUCUUCGCCAUGAGGAGUCCUUCUUCAAUUCGAUGUCUGAUAAAAUGGUAUUUUCUGUCGAUGUGUCUGGAUCUCCCGUGAUCCCUUGGUUCCUUGGCUAAGGCAACCGCACUAUUGCUGUCACAGAAAAUCUCCAUUGGCUCUUUUAUAGCUGGUACAACUCCAAGGUCUCCGAUGAAGUUCUUUAGCCAUAUAGCCUCCUUUGCUGCCUCGCUUGCUGCUAUAUACUCUGAUUCACAAGUUGAAUCUGCCACUGUCUCUUGCUUGGAACUCUUCCAAGAAAUUGCUCCUCCGUUUAGGGUAAAGACCCAGCCUGACUGAGAGCGGAAAUUAUCCCUAUCAGUCUGGAAGCUAGCAUCACUAUACCCUACAACUCUCAAGUCAUCACUCCCACCGAGGGUAAGGACCCAGUCCUUAGUCCUUCGCAGGUACUUGAGGAUAUUCUUUACCGCAGUCCAGUGUUCCUUGCCAGGGUUCCCCUGAUACCUGCUAACCAUGCUUAAAGCAAAGGCUACAUCAGGUCGAGUACACGUCAUAGCAUACAUGAUCGAUCCUACAGCUGAAGCAUAAGGUAGUCGACUCAUUUCUGCUAUCUCAGCCUCAGUGCUAGGGCUUUGUGUCUUACUCAAUCUGGCAUUACUCUGAAUGGGUAACUCACCUUUCUUGGAGUUAUGCAUGUUGAAUCUUUUCAACACUUUGUCCACAUAGGUGCUUUGACUAAGUCCAAUUAGUCUUUUACUCCUGUUUCUCAAAAUCCUUAUCCCUAGGAUAUAGGCAGCUUCACCAAGGUCCUUCAUAGCGAAACACUUCCCAAGCCAGGACUUUACUUCCUGCAGGGUUGGGAUGUCAUUUCCUAUGAGUAGUAUGUCAUCCACAUACAGUACCAAAAAACUGACUAUGCUCCCACUAGCCUUGAUAUAGACGCAAGAUUCAUCUUCACUCCUUGAAAAACCAAAUUCCUUGACUUUCUCAUCAAAGCAAAGAUUCCAUCUGCGAGGUGCCUGUUUCAAUCCAUAAAUGGAUUUCUCGAGUUUACACACUCUAUUGGGGUACUCUGUACUGACAAAACCCUCUGGCUGAACCAUGUAAACAUCCUCAGCCAACUUUCCAUUAAGGAAAGCGGUUUUGACAUCCAUUUGCCAUAUUUCAUAGUCAUGAAAUGCAGCAAUGGCUAACAGAACCCUAAUAGACUUUAUCUUGGCCACUGGUGAAAAGGUUUCAUCAUAAUCAACUCCCGGAGUUUGAGAAUAACCUUUUGCAACCAGUCGUGCCUUAUAAGUGUGUACAUUACCAUCCAUGUUGGUCUUCUUCUUGAAGAUCCAUUUGCACCCUACAGUCUUAUGACCUGGUACAUUCUCAACAAAGUUCCAAACUCGAUUGUCAUUGUAUCUCGCUAUCCAUGGCCUCUUUCCACUUGGCAGCCUUAGGGCCUGCCAUGGCUUCCGUGUAGCUGUUAGGUUCAUCCGAACCUACUAGUGUCUCAUCACUAAUAAGUGUCUCACCUACCGCAGUAAUAUGGAAACCAUAAUAAUGCUCAGGUGCAUUCCUAACUCUCGUGGAACGCCUCAGAGGUACAGGCUCGUCAAUUCGCUCAACAGGAGUUUCAACCUCAAGUUGAGGGCUAGUGUUUGAAGUUGCUUCACCACUUUACUCUUGAAUUUCUUCAAGAUCAAUUUGCCUCCCACUGUCUCCUUGGCUUAUAAAUUCUCUCUCUCGAAAGACUCCUCUUCUUGCUACAAAGACCACAUUAUCACUAGGUCUGUAGAAGAGGUAACCAAAUGAUUACUAUGGGUAGCCGAUGAAAAUACACCUCUCGCUUCGGAGGUUUGAGCUUAUCAUGAGUCUCGCGUCUCACGAAAGCCUCGCAACCCCAAAUCUUGAUGUGGUCUAGUUUAGGUACUUUACCAGUCCACAUCUCGUGAGGAGUUUUGGCAACUUUCUUUGUAGGGACAAGAUUAAGAAUAUGGGCGGCAGUCUCUAAGGCAUACCCCCAGAAUGAGAUUGGUAGCAUUGCUCGACUCAUCAUGGAACGAACCAUAUCCAACAAGGUUCGAUUACGCCUUUCAGCUACACCAUUCAACUGUGGUGUCCUGGGAGGUGUCAAUUGUGAGACAAUCCCACAUUC